UGGGUAGGGGUCCUGAGAGGGAGAUCCCCCACACUGGUACUGAGACACGGACCAGACUCCUACGGGAGGCAGCAGUGAGGAAUAUUGCACAAUGGAGGAAACUCUGAUGCAGCAACGCCGCGUGGAGGAUGACGCAUUUCGGUGUGUAAACUCCUUUUAAGAGGGAAGAUAAUGACGGUACCUCUUGAAUAAGCACCGGCUAACUCCGUGCCAGCAGCCGCGGUAAUACGGAGGGUGCAAGCGUUACUCGGAAUCACUGGGCGUAAAGCGCGCGCAGGCGGCUUUUCAAGUUGGAUGUGAAAUCCUAUGGCUCAACCAUAGAACUGCAUCCAAAACUGUUAAGCUAGAGUCUGGGAGGGGAAGAUGGAAUUAGUUGUGUAGGGGUAAAAUCCGUAGAGAUAACUAGGAAUACCAAAAGCGAAGGCAAUUUUCUGGAACAGUACUGACGCUCAGAUGCGAAAGCGUGGGUAGCAAACAGGAUUAGAUACCCUGGUAGUCCACGCCCUAAACGAUGAAUGUUAGUCGUCGGGAGGCUCGUCCUUUCGGUGAUGCAGCUAACGCAUUAAACAUUCCGCCUGGGGAGUACGGUCGCAAGAUUAAAACUCAAAGGAAUAGACGGGGACCCGCACAAGUGGUGGAGCAUGUGGUUUAAUUCGAAGAUACGCGAAGAACCUUACCUAGCCUUGACAUUGAUAGAAUCCGGUAGAGAUACUGGAGUGCCCUUCGGGGAGCUUGAAAACAGGUGCUGCACGGCUGUCGUCAGCUCGUGUCGUGAGAUGUUGGGUUAAGUCCCGCAACGAGCGCAACCCUCGUCACUAGUUACUAACGGUUCGGCCGAGGACUCUAGUGAGACUGCCUUCGUAAGGAGGAGGAAGGUGAGGACGACGUCAAGUCAUCAUGGCCCUUACGGCUAGGGCAACACACGUGCUACAAUGGCCAGGACAGUGAGACGCAAUACCGCGAGGUGGAGCAAAUCUAUAAACCUGGUCUCAGUUCGGAUUGUAGUCUGCAACUCGACUACAUGAAGCUGGAAUCACUAGUAAUCGUAGAUCAGCUAUGCUACGGUGAAUACGUUCCCGGGUCUUGUACUCACCGCCCGUCACACCAUGGGAG
rnacentral:rRNA from 1 species